UGAUUUAUUCCUGAUACAUAAAUUGUGUAUGUAAUCAUUGCAAAUGGUCAAAGGUGAUUACUGAUGUGUAGAAAUAGGUAUAAAAAGAGCAACGUGUUUGAAAACAACAUUAAUCCAACUUUAUGGGCAACAGUGUAUAUUUAAGC